rnacentral:rRNA from 1 species
UACGGAGGGUGCAAGCAUUAAUCGGAAUUAUUGGGCGUAAAGGGCGCGUAGGCGGGUCGAAAAGUUAGGUGUGAAAUUCCACAACUCAAUUGAGGAACUGCAUCUAAAACUCUUGAUCUAGAGGUAAGACGGAGGAAAUGGAAUUCCACGUGUAGCGGUGAAAUGCGUAGAUAUGUGGAAGAACACCUGUGGCGAAAGCGGUUUUCUAGUUUAAACCUGACGCUGAGGCGCGAGAGCAAGGGGAGCAAACAGG